rfam:Salmo salar isolate Sally breed double haploid chromosome ssa06, whole genome shotgun sequence.
UUCACUACUUACUGUAAGUCGCUCUGGAUAAGAGAGUCUGCUAAAUGACUAAAA